rnacentral:rRNA from 1 species
CAGAGACUGCAAGCGUUAUUCGGAUUCACUGGGCGUAAAGGGUGCGCAGGCGGCCAUGUGUGUGAGGCGUGAAAGCCUGGAGCUUAACUCCAGAAUUGCACCUCAAACUACAUGGCUAGAGCAUUGGAGAGGGUAGCAGAAUUCAUGGUGUAGCAGUGAAAUGCGUAGAUAUCAUGAGGAAUACCAGAGGCGAAGGCGGCUACCUGGACAAUUGCUGACGCUCAGGCACGAAAGCGUGGGGAGCAAAAGGGAUUAGAUACCCCUGUAGUCCACGCCCUAAACGGUGCACACUAGGUCUUGGCGGAUUCGACCCCACCAGGGCCCAAGCUAACGCGUUAAGUGUGCCGCCUGAGGACUACGGUCGCAAGACUA